rnacentral:misc_RNA from 1 species
GAAAUGCGAUAAGUAGUGUGAAUUGCAGAAUUCAGUGAAUCAUCGAAUCUUUGAACGCACAUUGCGCCUUCUGGUAUUCCGGGAGGCAUGCCUGUUCGAGCGUCAUUAAAACCCUUCGGCGGAGAUUUUCUCGGCCGGUCAUGGGGGACGGAUCUCCCUUGGGACCUCCGCCCCCGAAAUCCAACGGCGGACUGCCACCGGUGUACGCAGCGUAGUAAGUCUAUUUCGCGGCCUCACCGACGGGACGUCCCGCCGGCCCAAACCCCCCAAAAAUUUCCAAGUUGACCUCGGAUCAGGUAGGGAUACCCGCUGAACUUAA